CGCGACGUGGAAGGGCGAAGAUGAUGGCGGAGGUACGUCCCAAGGACCGCGAUGAGCGGCAUUAGAAUCAGCAUUGGCAAUAUCAGCAUCAGCAGAAGCAGCAGCUGAGCUCGACAUUGGCGGACGUGAACUGCUCACAGUCGUUGAAGUGAGCUCCAUGGUCAGACUACUACUGGUGCGAUGCCGA
rnacentral:rRNA from 1 species